AUUCUCUCAAGCAUAACUAAAUGUAUCAAUGUCAGUCAGCUUUGUCUGUGAUAGAGUGAAAAGCUUUACAUCAUGUACAAUGCUUAUUUAAGUGCAUCCACAGCCUGUCACUAAAUUGACCACACCCAGGCAUAAUGAAAAGUGCCAGUCUCAGCACCUGUCUCUCCUUUGAAACUUGGAGCUGGUCUUAUUAAGGGUAAUGAGGUGCAGCUGUUCUGGCAGUGUUACCUUCACCCAGUCAUGUGCUCAGAAGCUUUGUGAGUGCAUGUGGUUGCUUUUGGCUUAGUGUGAAAGUGUAGCCCAUGUGGAUGUUUUGGAGGUGAGGAGGUCUGUGAAAGGAGCCUAGGAAAGGGUUGCAGAAGUGCUUCUAAUGUGGUAAAUUGAAAAUUUCCUUCUGCAUUGCUAAGACAGCUUCUUUUCCCUUUUAGGCAAGGCAGCAGAAGUGGACUGAGAACCAAGUCAUUUUUUCAGGAGUAAGAGGGACUUGCCACAGAGUACCUGCAACACUGAGAGUGAAGGUCAGAUGACUUCCAGUUUGGACAACUGGAGGAUGAGGACCUCAGGACAUGCUGAACACCUUUAAUGAAGAAACAUGUUCCUAGCAGAGGAGAAUGCUGGAGUAAAUAGAACCAAAGUAAACAAAAUAUUUGCAGGUCACCAUGUUGGUUCUGUUAUUAAAGAAAAUAUGGCCCAGAAGCAUUCCAGACAGAUUCGCUGCAAUCCGUGUCUGGACAUUUCAACUUCAUCUGAAUAUCAAGUGGCACUGAAUCAGAUAAAGAAGCAUUACCAAUCUAUUUGGAAGAUUCCUGCUGCUUCCCAAAGUGUCUUAAAGGAAAAGGUUCAUCAAAGACUGGAAGCAACCAAGCUUUCUUUUCUCAGAAACUCUUCUUCUGGCCCUGAAGUCCUUAAAUAUGACCGGAGACUGUCACAAGCGAGACAUGGUGGCUGGUGUAUCGCAGUGUUCUGACAUAAGUGUUAGGCAAGUUCAGCAUGUCUGCUGGAAUGAUUUAGCACUCCAGAUGCAGUGAUUAGCACACCUAUAGCCGAAAGUGGAGGCUUCUGCUUUCCCAAUGUAGACUUUGUUCCACCAGUUCUUCAUGUCCCACACUCACAGCCCUGUUCGACCAAGGCAGCGGUUUUGAAAAAACGUUCCGUCUCCCAGGGUUGCUCAUGAGCAAGUACUGUGGUUACAAGCCUGCUAGAGCAGAUUCAGUAACUAAUGGCAUCUCAAACCAUCUUGCUAGCUUUUGUCAAAUGAUUAUAUGGUGCAUUUGGCUUGUGCAAUAAGUACUGCUCAGUGAGAGCUGUAACCACUGGAAAGAACAUUUUUUGAAAGAAAGUUUAUAUUUCCUAAGAACCAAAAAAAGAGAUGACAUUUUCCUGUAUCUAUAAACAACACCAAUUUGAAUAAUAUAUUGUGC
rnacentral:lncRNA from 14 species